AACAAAAACAAAAACAAAAAAACCAUUUUCCCGUCUCCCCUUCCUCCUUUCCCCUCCAUGCCAGGUGUUUAUCUCAGGUCUAAAUAUCCAUAAUACCACUUUUUCCAUUUUAAAAUUCCCAAAUUUGUCCUCCUCGCUGAUGGAAAAAAGGGUGACUCUAAACUCCUGCUUCUAGGCUGCUAGGGAUUAGAUGGAAUGCACUGGAAGCCUGGAGAGGACAGGUGACUACUGACUCUACCCUUGCACAUCACAGCUCUCCUCUCUCAACCUACUGCCCCAGGAAAGGCAUGCUUUGCCUGUGUGGGAGGGAGCUGAGGAAGUCUGAGCCAUCCACAACCGACCAUCUGAAAUCACUUUCCCAGGGAGCCGAAGACGCACAUGGCCAGACACUGCUCUGCUUUUCAAAGAGGGGGGCUGGCCCUUUCAUCUGUCUUUGCAGAGUGUCAUACAGUUAGUGACAGAGAAUGGACCUGAAUUCUCCAACACUCCAUGGUUCUUCAAGGGAUGAGGUGUCCCAUCAGAGAAGACAUGAAGCCCUGGCAACACUCAGGUGUCCCUGGGAACUCUGGACAAAAUCACAUCUUAAUGCCUUUGGAACCACCCCCUAUAGCUGUAAAUGCUCCCCUGUUAGUGGGGAGUAAUACAGAGAUACUUGGUUUUAAUUCUAUUUACACUGAUAUAAUUAUAUAACCCAGACAACUAUACUGAUGGCAGUCCAUUUUUCAUCUGGCAAAUUGUUUCAUGUUACAUGUGACUAAUUUGAUCAUGAUUUGUAAUUUAUGUGGGAUUCUCCUCCCUUCCCCACUGCGAUAACCUAACAUAACCCAUUUGAAUUGAAUCCCUGUGUGAACACCAGAUCAAGUUCAUAGACUAUCCUCACACUUGUCAGAAGAGAAAUAUUUACCUGAAGGCCUUUUAAGGCAUUUGAAGAAUGGGAAUCAAUGCCUUCUCUUCUGGGCAAAACUGGUAAAAAUUCGAGUAACUCUUUUAUUACAUGUAACAAAAGCUCUUGAACAGAGCUAUUGUUAGACUCUAUGGAUAAUUAUCAAGGGAAAUGCUAAGCUUCCUUCAUUAAAGACUUGAAGAAGUUAUCUUGGUGAGAUAGAAUUCUUGAAAUAAAAAGCAUUACUUUGAUGAAAUUCUGUGUUUCCCUUCGAUACCAUAAUACUAUGCCAUAUUAAUAUUUUUAAGACUAUACUUGGUUUAACAUUUACCAUGAGAACUAUAACUUACAAAAACUUGUUGUUCUCAAAUACAAACAGUAAUGGAAUCUGUAAUCUAUAUAUACCCUCCCUGCUACAGUUAAUGAUGGCCCCAUUACUUGAAGUGCUCAAUAAACCAACUGUUUCAUUAUGCUGA